rnacentral:rRNA from 1 species
CCUACGGGCGGCAGCAGUGAGGAAUAUUGGUCAAUGGACGCAAGUCUGAACCAGCCAAGCCGCGUGCAGGAAGACGGCUCUAUGAGUUGUAAACUGCUUUUGUACGAGGGUAAACGCAGAUACGCGUAUCUGUCUGAAAGUAUCGUACGAAUAAGGAUCGGCUAACUCCGUGCCAGCAGCCGCGGUAAUACGGAGGAUUCAAGCGUUAUCCGGAUUUAUUGGGUUUAAAGGGAGCGUAGGCGGUCUGUUAAGUUAGAGGUGAAAUUCCGAGGCUCAACUGUAGAAUUGCCUCUGAUACUGUUCGGCUAGAGAAUAGUUGAGGUAGGCGGAAUGUAUGGUGUAGCGGUGAAAUGCUUAGAGAUCAUACAGAACACCGAUUGCGAAGGCAGCUUACCAAGCUGCUUCUGACGUUGAGGCACGAAAGCGUGGGGAGCAAACAGGAUUAGAUACCCGUGUAGUC